rnacentral:piRNA from 1 species
UACCGACUGCAUCUGGUUCCUCGCUGCCA